rnacentral:misc_RNA from 1 species
AACGCAUCUUGCGCUCCUCGGCAUUCCGAGGAGCAUGCCCGUUUGAGUGUCGUGAAGUUCUCUCGAAAGACACGAGCGCGUGUUUUUCGGAUUUGGACGUCUUUUUGCCUCUCGUUGUCGAGGCUCGUCUCGAAAUGCAUUGCCGGGGUUUGCCCCCCGCCCGUACGGGUAAGACGUGAUAAGUUUUGCGUCCGCGUCGGGAAAAAGGGCCCCCCGUUUGUAAUCUCCCUUUCCUCGGAGGGGGGGAUAGCUCUCUCUGCACUUUGACCUCAAAUCGGGCAGGACUACCCGCCGAACUUAA